AUGAUGCUAAAGCUCAUGGUGAAUAUGUUAAAGAAAAUAAUAUGAUUUAUGUGCAUAAGUCGAAAAAUACUUUUUAUAUGCAUAAAUCCUAAUUCAUAUUGAUUGUGUCUAUCACUAACUAGAUGGGGAUAUUGUUAAAAUAUUAGUGAUAGAAAAAUUUGUCUCAUUUCAAAAGAGUUAUGUCUGUUUAUUAAAAGAUAUCAAAAUGAACUAUUUAUUACCGAUAAUUAUAUCUGUUUUAAAAGGUGUAAAUGAACAAAUAUAAUUAUUCUAAGAGAUACAAAGUGAACAGUUGUAUCUGUUGUAAAAGGUAUAAGUGAACAG
rnacentral:misc_RNA from 1 species